AAAUAUCCGAAUUUUAUAUAAUAUUUAUGUAUUAUUUGAGAUCUAAAGAUUAAAUGCUGAAUGUUAAUUAAGCUUUGUAUUACACUUAGCUAAUUCAUAGAAAAUGGAUCCAUCCAAGGAUAUAUUGAGCAAUAUUAACAGUAUUAUCAAAAUUCUCCUCUUUCUAUAUAUUUUUAUUAAAAAUAUCAAUUUCCAUAACUGGCAAUAAAUAAUAUCUUUAUUUUCAGAUUAACUUUAAAGUCUGCAUGAACACUUGGAUAUCCAUACGUUUCACCACUGAUAUGUUCCCAUCGUAACACCCUAUUAUGAUUUGGGGACUGGAGAAUCCUCCAAUUAUGAUGACACGGAUCUAAUGGAAACUGAUUGCGUUACGUGGACAGGACAACGUGACUUUUUUUUUUUCUUAAUCCAACAUUAAUCGUUGCUCGUUGAAGUAACCGUUCAAAUAAAUUGACCCGCAGGAAUUCCGGUCGUUUUAACGAGCGAGUUAGGGGGUAGAUCAAUUAGACGUUAUGAAACGAUGCCGUUCCUUUGCCAGGCGUGUAUCCGUCGUAUCCAUGGCGAGGAUUUACCUUGAAUUUAUUUCUUUACCAGACAUUCAUGACCAACGCAUUUUAUUUCUUUUUCUCUCCUUGACAUAUUGAUCAAACGUUCUACUUUGUCUGUUGCGUUGUAAUUUAUCCGGUAAGGAUAUAAGACUAUCAACAUUUAAAUGUCGUAUCAUCUUUAAACUGUCACUUAACUCCGAUAACGCAAAAUUAAUUUCCAUUCAUGAUUGCGUUUUUAUUUAUACUAAUUAAAACCAAUUGUUACAUUUAUCAAUAUUUAUUAACUGUAUACAGUCGCCUGGGAUAAGAUUAGAAGCAAAAAUUGGAUUAAAGACCUUCAUUUAAAGUACCAAGGCAUACCCAAGUACUUACACAUCUAUCAAUAAGAAAGAUUACUAUUUUUAGAAUAGCAAGAUACUACAAGAUAAAUGACAAUUGAAAGUAUUAAUAAAUAUGACAACGUGCGUUUGCAUCUCCAUCAAUAAUCAUCUUUCUAAGCUGGCAAGGCAAUCCUUGUGUACAUCAAAUUGAUCUAGUCCCCUUUAUAUUUUUGUGUAAUUUACUUUGUUAUUUAAAUAAUGUAAUAUUCAUAUAUAUCAAAGCAAAAUACAUAAGUUUUUUGCCACGUAUGUCUUUUAUAUUUCUUUAAUAUCAUUUACAGACCAAUGAUGAUUCUAUUGACACUAUCACCAUCAAGCCAUUCACGCAAUAGAAUAAUACUCAUUGCAGCGAGACAAUGCAAAAGCACUUACUGUCGAUUUACAAAAAUCGAAACGUCCAAAUCAAAAGCGUCCACUAGACACUGUAGCGAAGAUCUCAAGUUCUCCGGAUCACAACUAGAUCUACAUCUAUCACCACCUAUUCAAAACCCGUAAAAAAUCGAAUACUUCUACAUUGUAUGAAAAUAAAAAUUCAAGCUUGACAUGUACGUAAAAUUACAAAUUUCUCUAUUAAAAAGCGCACGAUAUUCUUUUAGCCUCGAUAAUUAGAAGAAAAUCUUCAAUAGAGGAUCGCGAGCAGCAGAUCACUCGAUAUUUAAGAUCUGAAAUCGAGGAAAGACAACCGAAGUAGUGACUUGGAGGAUCGUCGAUCGACUAAUGCUGCUUCACCUUUCUAGAGAAUCGCUUUCAAAGAUCGUUCCAAGGACGACAAUCUUCGUAAGGUCGCUGGUAGAUAAGGAACAAAUACCGAAUCGUUUUGAAGGUUCCGCAUCCACUGCCCUUCUCCCUGACGCGUCGAAAUCGCGAAGGAGAUCGAAAAAUAAAAGCGGAGAUGUGAUGCUGGAAGACGAGGGCGAUGAACGAACUUGUAAAUCUCUGUUACAAGUCAUUACAGACUUGAUACUUGGAUGAUUUUAAAUGGCUUUUAAGUAACCUUCAGAGAUUAACGUGAAUGCAAAUUAUUGCUUUUUGUGUCUACGUUCUUUAUUUAUUUAUGCAAAGAAGAAUAUGAAACGUGGAACGAUUUUUAGAUAUUUUGUAUGUUGUUGUUUGCAGAAAUUAAUUGUCAGAUAGGUCAAGGACGAUCGAAUUAAAAAUGUGACGAACUUUUCGAACGACUUAAUAAUUGGAUUGAAGUCAGUGAUUUUCACUCAAUUUUAUUUCAUUUUAUUAUUGAUUUUAAAAAUUGUUCAUCCUGUCUUGUCAAUUAUAUCGGUAUAGUACCAUUAUUUUAAAAUUAUAGCACCAUUUUUUGCACUAUACAUAAUAUAUGAUUAAAACGGAUAUUUAUGUUGUAUCAUUCUAACUGCUAAAUUCAUUUCCAGAUUAAUUUGGGACAUGACCAAUGUCUCGUUACAGUGCUAAUGAUACUUCAAAUUAUUUUAUACGACACGCACGAUAUGCAUAUAAAAAUUUUAUACUGCAAGUGUGGAAAUGCCUUCAUGAGCCACUGUAAGUAAUAACGUCAAAUGGAUAAAUCGACGAGGAUUGAUACCAUUCAACGGCACAGUCCGUUCGAUCAAUAGAAAUUUAAUCUAAUUAGCGCGAUUAGACCGUUCCAGUUCAGGGAGUCGAGCGAAAUCCUACGAGUCUCGCGCAAGAAUCAUCAACCCUACAUAGCGAAAUUGAGCCAGAAUCUGGGUCAGUCGGCCUCGUUGACGAACUUGUCUCUUGAACCUGCGCCAAUUCACACCGAAUAACCCUAUGAUCAACUGGUAAAUGAAGCGUGACUCAACUACACUGACCCACCUUCGUCUAUUUACAAAGGCUAUAAAGAUUACUAAAGAUUGCAACAGAAAUUGUGCAUUUACAAAAUUAAGUGGAAAACAAAUCGUAACAUAAUGACCGUUCACUUAUUAAUUAUAACCCAAUUAGAAAGAAUACGUGCAAAUAGUUCUCCAUCCACAAAAACAAAUGUCAAGGAAUUUACUCUAUUGCUCAGAAGUAUUUGGAUUGUAUAUUUUUGUCAAAAUUGAAGUAUUGCUUUUGUCCAUUAGUUUCUCAUUAAUUUAUACACUUUAUUAACAUUUAUGUACUGUUGCUAUAAAAGUAUUCAGCUACUUAUGAGCAACAGUGUAUUUAGGAAAACGUACCCUGCCUCCACUCUUACCUGUUUCAUCACAAACGAACCUGCUCCAAUUAUGAGGAAUAUUCGGACAAAGCCAACAAGAAUCAAGAAUCAAAUCACGACCCAAUAAAUUAUAUCAUGCUAAGCUUCAUAAAAGAAACAAAGCACGGUAAAAAAAGAAAAAGCGAGAAUACAAAGCACGGUGAAGUAUCAUAACAAAAUAUCGUGACGACUGGCUGAGGAAUUAGCAAAUUAGCCAGGGUUUGACGUCAAAAACAAUUCACGGGGAAUCGUUGCUCGUUACGCGUACCACGCACCGUUUAAAUCGAUCAAUUACCCUGUGGAAAAGUCGUGCACGUGCAGUGGUGAACAUGUUCAUCGCAAUUUUACCAGGUCACGGUCACAAAGGACAGGCAAGUUCAGUCUCAGAUGAGUCAAAUCGUUCGUUCUGUCUUGUAGUUUUAGAUGUUGCAAGUGGACCGAUUUAAUAGAAACGGAUUUUAUGAAAUUAAUUUGAAAGAUCGAGUAAUAGAAGACACGUUCGAGUCGAGAAAAUAACGCGAAACUCACUGAAAGAAGAGACAAGGUACGCAAGGAACUGCCAACCAACUCCCACCUCCGGCUGCGCACCCCGGAAACCGCAACGCGACUCGAGCCACUGCAGUGCGCAACAACCCCUCAACUUACCUUCACUGAUCCUAUGGAAUUCGUAGAGUUGAAUUUUAGAGGUAACCAAGGUGCCAUUGGCAAAUAUUUGAAGAUUUAGUAUUUGUUAAUUUGAAUGAUUGUUAUCGAAGGAAACACUGGACAUUUUAUUUUAGACAAGUUGAAAUGUUAAUAGUUUAAGGGUUUUACAUUCUCUAAAUUCUUGAAUUUUUAAACCUUUAUAUUUCUAGAUUAAAAAUUUUUAGAUUUUUUGGCAUUUAAAUUCCUAAAUCUCGAAUUGACUAUAAUAAUUGUCCAGUUCUCUAAAUAUUACAAAUACAGUUUUAAUUUGUUACCUUUUUAAAUUUGGUAUUUAAACGAAAUAUUGGUAUUUAAAUGAAAAUAGCGCAUAAUUACAAUAUCUGUCUUAAUAGUCUAAUUUAUCGAAAUAUUGUAGUAAAUGAAUCGUUAUAAACAAAUGUUAAACACUGGAACGAUCGCUAUUUUUAUGUAAUUGUAAUUGUAUAAUUUCACUAACAAGAACUACAAAUUUCAAAGGUGAAUACAAUUUCACGCGAAGGUGUCCCCUUUCGCUCAAUUUAUCUGAAAUUCAGUCCUAGUAUAUACCGAGUGAUUCCGCUUCCUACAUAGACAAUUAUAAAAGAUUCCUUUUGCGUAGUACUUAAAUAUUCACAUUGUUUGAAAAGUAAAUUUUUCGGGAAUAUCGUUUAUCGAUUCUUUGCGCGUAUUCUUUUAGGAAUUAUAUUCUGAAUAAUGUAUGCGUCUGAAACGUACGCGUCUUGAAUAUAAUUUUACACUUUUUCAAUUUUAAAUCUUCCGCUGAAAUUAUAACUUAUAAUUUCCGAUUAAAGAAUUAUAUAAAAACAAAGAAUGAAUGUAUCAACGAUCAACGUAUUUUUCAUUUCUGAUUUUGGGACUUUUAGAUUUUACAAUUCCCAUAUUUCUAAAUAUUUAAAUUUUGAAAACACUAAAAAAGCAAAAGAGGAAAAAGCAGAAGAAUAACAAAUUAA